rnacentral:lncRNA from 1 species
AUGUAGUAUUUUAAGGGUUUCGUGUCUUUAAGCCACUCUCUAGGAGAGUUGGUGUAAAGUGAACCACUCGAGUUGUGAGAUGGUCACCGUGUCCUCACUCAGAAACUUGUAGGUAAUGAGUUGAGUAUUGUAAUUGGAGGAAGCUUUUAAGCAACUCCAAAUUGUGAACUUAGUCGUUGGCUAGGUGGUGAUGUUAUUGAAGUGUGUCUUCAUCUUUGUCAAGGAGAGUGUCU